CUUUUGUCUUCUCUACCGAAAAGGUGGAAGAGGUUGAAUUCUUACAGGCUAGGGCUAUGGAGCCUAAUGGACAUAGAAAGGGUAACAAAAAGAAUACGGUUUCCCUUCAAAACGGUGAUCUUAGCACAUUGAAUAUUGAUGAUGAGUUGGAUCCAUGGACUUCCUGGGCGAACAAACCUCACACUAUUACGUUGUUGCUUAUUGGUGCAUGUUUACUCAUUUGGGCUAGUGGAGCUCUCGACUCACAAAACACUUCUUCCGGUGAUAUUGUGGCAUCUGUGAAAAGGGGUGUUUGGGCUAUGAUUGCUGUGUAUCUUGCUUACUCUUUGCUGCAAGCCCCCUCCACCGUGCUCAUUAGGCCACAUCCUGCCAUUUGGCGCCUAGUUCAUGGAAUGGCUGUCAUUUACCUUGUUGCUUUGACGUUUUUGCUUUUUCAGAAGCGGGAUGAUGCUCAGCAAUUUAUGAGAUAUCUACAUCCUGAUCUUGGUAUUGAGCUACCUGAAAGAUCCUAUGGUGCUGAUUGCAGAAUCUACGUACCUGAAAAUCCCACAAACAGGUUUAAGAAUCUUUAUGACACAUUGUUCGAUGAGUUCGUUCUGGCUCAUAUCUUAGGGUGGUGGGGCAAGGCCAUCAUGAUACGUAAUCAGCCUCUUUUGUGGGUCUUAUCCAUUGGGUUUGAGUUGAUGGAGCUUACUUUCCGCCACAUGUUACCAAACUUUAAUGAGUGCUGGUGGGACAGCAUUAUUCUGGAUAUAUUCAUUUGCAACUGGUUUGGCAUCUUGGCUGGAAUGCGUACUGUUCGAUAUUUUGAUGGAAGAACAUAUGAGUGGGUUGGUAUAAGCCGGCAGCCAAAUAUUAUGGGCAAGGUCAAGCGAACACUUGGCCAAUUUACACCUGCACAUUGGGAUAAAGAUGAAUGGCGACCCCUCCUUGGUCCCUGGCGAUUCCUUCAAGUUCUCACUCUCUGUGUUAUUUUCUUGACUGUGGAAUUGAAUACAUUCUUCUUGAAGUUCUGUCUUUGGAUUCCU
rnacentral:misc_RNA from 1 species